UACGUAGGUGGCAAGCGUUGUCCGGAUUUACUGGGCGUAAAGAGCGCGCAGGCGGUCAGAUAAGUCGAAUGUGAAAGCCCCCGGCUCAACUGGGGAGGGUCAUUCGAUACUGUUCGACUCGAAGGCAGGAGAGGGAAGUGGAAUUCCCGGUGUAGUGGUGAAAUGCGUAGAUAUCGAGAGGAACACCUGCGGCGAAGGCGGUUGCCUGGAGCUUUGCUGACGCUGAUGCGCGAAAGCGUGGGGAGCGAUCCGG
rnacentral:rRNA from 1 species